GAACUAUUCAGAUGCCGUGAACGCGACUUUUCCGCUUUCCUUCUUUGCCUGUACACGACCUCUCUUAAUUCUCAGCUGUGCCAGGACCGGUGCCUUAUCGAAUAUCGUAGUACGUAUAACGUUGAGACAUGGGAAGGUAGUUUCCACGGUGAUUCCCAAUCGCGGAUGCAAGACGUCGCGACGACAAGGACAACGAUAACCACGACGACAUCCUGUCCCUUGAAUUGAAAGGACGGAGUAUUCGGUGAAGGUCUUAUUAUUAAUUGUUCGAGUUCCUGCUCAAACACUGGAGAUUAAAUCCGGGAGGAACUAAUCCGGCACGUAGUGCCUCUUUAUUCCGUCUGUCCCACGUAGAGAGAAGCCUCUCACAAACACACACUCGUCUCUAUAGAUGUUUGUUACGUCCAAGGUAUGGUAGAUAGAUCGAGCUCUCUGUGAAUCGUAAAUACACGUAUAUACACUCUGUCCCUCUGUGUCUUCGUGAGAGUAAAUACACUACGAAUCUUCGUGAAUGAAAUUUUAACCCUUGAAUCGCGUUCUCUACCUGGAAUAUCUUCUUUUUUUUUAUUUUUAUUCUUCUUCUUUUUCUUUUCUUUUUUCUUGUUUUUUCUUCUUUUUUUUUUUUGUUUAAGGGGCUUCAAGUUCGUUGUAAAACACCGCGAGAAUGUUAAUCGAGGGCAAUGAAGGAUAAGUAUAAUAAUAAGUAUAGGUUAGGAACUAUCCUGUGUUCUUAAAUAUUAUUUUAAAUAUUUAAUGUCGCGUUAAUAUACAGAUGUAAAUGAAAUAUAAUGAAUUUUUAUUUCAUUAUAUUCUUAAUAAAUAUUAAUUUCUUAUUAAAAAUCAAUAUCUCCAAAACAGGAUUAUCCUAAGUUUAAUCGAGAUCAAGCCUCGAAGAUAACCUAAAUUUACUAAAACAAUAAUAAUCAACAUACCAGAUGCCAACAUAAAGAAGCGAAAAGAUUUUGAGGUUCGUAGGGAAUAAAAUCGAGGCGCCCUGGAUCUAAAAUCAAGAUUGGAGCAGCCUUGGAUGCUGUCCACUUAGAUAAGGAUAGCCCCUGGAGAAGGAAGGAGUCGAAACAAGGGGGUUCACCAACAGCAGGCCAGUUAUUCGCGCGCCAGAAGAAGACUACGAGUGUCUAAAAGAAGAAGGCUGAGGAAAGAAGGUAUUUCGAGAACACUGCACGAUGGCGAGAACAAGGAAGGAUCGAAGAUGGAGGAACGAUAGACGAAGAAAAUAUUACGGUGGGAAUGGUCGAGGAAGAACGAGGGGAUAUAGUGGGCGGAAGUGGCCCGUACAGGGAGGCUGCAACCACCUUGGCUUCCGCUACAUUGAGGGCCACCGAUACAACACACAACCACCUUGUGUUUUUCAUCCUUCUCCCAGUGGUCCCUCACACGUGUUGCUUACC